rnacentral:rRNA from 1 species
GACGAACGCUGGCGGCAUGCCUAACACAUGCAAGUCGAACGAGACCUUCGGGUUUAGUGGCGCCCGGGUGCGUAACGCGGGGGAAACUGCCCUUAGGUUCGGAAUAACUCCCUGAGAGGGGUGCUAAUACCGGAUAAUGUUUUCGGACCAAAGAUUUAUCGGCUUGGGGUGGGCCGGCGUUGGAUUAGGUAGUUGGUAGGGUAAAAGCCUACCAAGGCGAGGAUCCAUAGCUGGUCUGAGAGGAUGAUCAGCCACACUGGGACUGAGACACGGCCCAGACUCCUACGGGAGGCAGCAGUGGGGAAUAUUUGAGAAUGGGCGAAAGCCUGAUCCAGCGAUGCCGCGUGAGUGAUGAAGGCGUUAGGGUUGUAAAGCUCUUUUAACCGGGAUGAUAAUGACAGUACCGGGAGAAUAAGCACCGGCUAACUCCGUG